rnacentral:rRNA from 1 species
AUGAACGCUAGCGACAGGCUUAACACAUGCAAGUCGAGGGGCAGCAUGAUUUGUAGCAAUACAGAUUGAUGGCGACCGGCGCACGGGUGAGUAACGCGUAUGCAACUUACCUAUCAGAGGGGGAUAGCCCGGCGAAAGUCGGAUUAAUACCCCAUAAAACAGGGGUCCCGCAUGGGAAUAUUUGUUAAAGAUUCAUCGCUGAUAGAUAGGCAUGCGUUCCAUUAGGCAGUUGGCGGGGUAACGGCCCACCAAACCGACGAUGGAUAGGGGUUCUGAGAGGAAGGUCCCCCACAUUGGUACUGAGACACGGACCAAACUCCUACGGGAGGCAGCAGUGAGGAAUAUUGGUCAAUGGCCGAGAGGCUGAACCAGCCAAGUCGCGUGAAGGAAGAAGGAUCUAUGGUUUGUAAACUUCUUUUAUAGGGGAAUAAAGUGGAGGACGUGUCCUUUUUUGUAUGUACCCUAUGAAUAAGCAUCGGCUAACUCCGUGCCAGCAGCCGCGGUAAUACGGAGGAUGCGAGCGUUAUCCGGAUUUAUUGGGUUUAAAGGGUGCGUAGGUGGUGAUUUAAGUCAGCGGUGAAAGUUUGUGGCUCAACCAUAAAAUUGCCGUUGAAACUGGGUUACUUGAGUGUGUUUGAGGUAGGCGGAAUGCGUGGUGUAGCGGUGAAAUGCAUAGAUAUCACGCAGAACUCCGAUUGCGAAGGCAGCUUACUAAACCAUAACUGACACUGAAGCACGAAAGCGUGGGGAUCAAACAGGAUUAGAUACCCUGGUAGUCCACGCAGUAAACGAUGAUUACUAGGAGUUUGCGAUACAAUGUAAGCUCUACAGCGAAAGCGUUAAGUAAUCCACCUGGGGAGUACGCCGGCAACGGUGAAACUCAAAGGAAUUGACGGGGACCCGCACAAGCGGUGGAGCAUGUGGUUUAAUUCGAAGCAACGCGAAGAACCUUACCUGCUCUUGACAUCCCAUUCGAUAGAAGGUAAUGCUUCUAGCCCUUCGGGGGAAUGGAGACAGGUGGUGCAUGGUUGUCGUCAGCUCGUGCCGUGAGGUGUCGGCUUAAGUGCCAUAACGAGCGCAACCCUUAUCACUAGUUACUAACAGGUGAAGCUGAGGACUCUGGUGAGACUGCCAGCGUAAGCUGUGAGGAAGGUGGGGAUGACGUCAAAUCAGCACGGCCCUUACAUCCGGGGCGACACACGUGUUACAAUGGCAUGGACAAAGGGCAGCUACCUGGUGACAGGAUGCUAAUCUCCAAACCAUGUCUCAGUUCGGAUCGGAGUCUGCAACUCGACUCCGUGAAGCUGGAUUCGCUAGUAAUCGCGCAUCAGCCAUGGCGCGGUGAAUACGUUCCCGGGCCUUGUACACACCGCCCGUCAAGCCAUGGGAGCCGGGGGUACCUGAAGUCCGUAACCGCAAGGAUCGGCCUAGGGUAAAACUGGUGACUGGGGCU